UUCCGGUUGAUCCUGCCGGAGGCUACCGCUAUUGGAGUUCGAUUAAGCCAUGCGAGUCGCGAGUCUUCAAGGACUCGGCGUACCGCUCAGUAACACGUGGGUAACCUGCCCUAUGCUGGGGGAUAACCUCGGGAAACUGAGAAUAAUACCCCAUAGUUCACCACGCCUGGAACGGUGGGUGGAUGAAAGCUCCGGCGGCAUAGGAUGGGCCUGCGGCGUAUCAGGUUGUAGGGGGUGUAAUGUACCCUCUAGCCAUCUACGCGUACGGGUGUUGGGAGACAUCGCCCGGAGAUGGAUUCUGAGACACGAAUCCAGACCCUACGGGGUGCAGCAGGCGCGAAAACUUGGCAAUGCGAGCAAUCGUGACCAGGGAACUCCAAGUGCAUCGGGUAAGACCGAUGCUUUUCUUGACUCUUCAAAGGUCUUGGAAUAAGGGGUGGGUAAGGACGGUGCCAGCCGCCGCGGUAAUACCGGCGCCUCAAGUGGUAGUCGCUUUUAUUGGGCCUAAAACGUCCGUAGCCGGUUUGGUACAUUCGUGGGUAAAUCAAGGCGCUCAACGUCUUGAAUUCUGCGAGCACGGCCAGACUUGGGACCGGGUGAGGUGUGGGGUACUCUCAGGGUAGGGGUAAAAUCCUGUCAUCCUGAGAGGACCACCUGUUGCGAAGGCGCCACACUAGAACGGAUCCGACGGUCAGGGACGAAGCCUAGGGGCACGAACCGGAUUAGAUACCCGGGUAGUCCUAGGUGUAAACGCUGUGGACUUGAUGUUGGGAGUGCUCCGAGCACCCUCAGUGUCGAAGCGAAGGUGAUAAGUCCACUGCCUGGGGAGUACGGUCGCAAGGCUGAAACUUAAAGGAAUUGGCGGGGGAGCACUGCAACCUGAGGAUUGUGCGGUUUAAUUGGAUUCAACGCCGG
rnacentral:rRNA from 1 species